rnacentral:tRNA from 1 species
UACGGUAUGGUCUAGUGGUUAAGACGUCCGGCCCAUACCAGGAAAGCCCAGGUUCGAUUCUUGGUGCGGCAG